CCUCUUUAAAUCUUAAGCAUUUAUGAUUAUAUUAAAUCGUGUCUGGUCGCACCAGACUAUGGCGAUAAACGCGCAUGAAAUAAACAGGCUGGACCGGGGUGCGAUUCCCCGCGGC
rnacentral:tmRNA from 1 species